rnacentral:lncRNA from 1 species
GGCAACCCACUCAGAUUCCGUUUCAUAGUGUGGAGGUUUUGUUCUUUCACUCUGCAGUAAAUCUUACUGCUGCUCAGUGUUUGGGUCUGUGCUACCUUUAUGAGCUGUAACACUCACGGUGGAAGCCUGCAGUCUCACUCCUGAGGCCAGGGAGACCACGAACCCACCAGGAGGAAUGAACAACUCCGGAGGCGCAGACUUAAGAGCUGUAACACUCACCGCGAAGGUCUGUAGUUUCACUUUUGAACCAGCGAGACCAUGAACCCGCCAGAAAGAAAAAACUGCCAACACAGCCGGACAUCAGAAGGAACAAACUGGGGACACGCUGCCUUUAAGAAACAUAACAGGCACCGUGAGGGUCCACGGCUUCAUUCUUGAAGUUAGUGAGACCAAGAACCCACCUAAUCCCGGGCACAAAACCACCUCAAUCUCCCAAAGACCGAAAGCCCUGGUGUCGCUGGGACCAGAGAACUUUUUCUGAGAGCCUAUCGUGUCCAUGGAGAGCAGCUGAGGUAAAUCCUGGAGGUGACUGUCCCCCUAGGAGAUGAUGUGGAUGGGGAAAUAGUUCAUACGCAGCUCAGCGACCUUGAAGCGGCAUCCGAGGAGAUGUGGCCACGGGGCAGGCGACCGACACCAGCGAGUCCAGAGGGCCAGCGUGUGCACCACUGUGUGUCUCCAGAGACUUCAGGAAGCAGCCACCACGCCCGAGGAAUGCAGGAAGAUGGACACACGGCUGGGGAAGUACAAUGAAAGGCCAAGUAGGCAGCCUGUUCUCCUCAGAUCAGUCCCCCACGAACACUCAUUCCCGAGGACUCAUCCAAUACUAAUAAGAGAAUGCUCUUGUUUUUGAAGAAUUUUCUGAAAGCCAUCCUGACAAAUUAAGUAGAGUAUGCUGAAGAUAGUCAGACUUUGUUUUUAAGAAUUGAAUAUUCUGGAAGAGGCUCUUCAGUCCAAUCUUUAGUUCUCUCCACAGAGCAAACGAAGUGAAGUGCUGAAGGCCUGGAGCCCGAGCUGUUCCCACACGGACUCCAGGACAGUUAAGGCAGGGUUGCCUUAACUAAAUCUCUGACAACUGUUUCUUCUGUCUUUCUCCUAAAAAUGGAAUGCAGGCCAUCUAUUCUAGGGAAAUAAAGGAUUCUAGUUAUGUGAAUCCAGGAGCUUUUUUUGUUUGUUUGUUUGAGACAAAGUCUCGCUCUAUCGCCCAGGUUGAAGUGCAGUGGCUCCAUCUCGGCUCACUGCAACCUCCGCCACCCAGGUUCAAGA